UACAGGCCUGUAGCUUGAGAACGGAACAUCCCACAGGGAUGGGAGGCAUCAAUCGAUCCGGCUUGAGCAGACCUUUCAUUUGAUCCCCUGGAUGUCUACUUCCCUCUGCGGAAAAGGCAGAGAAGGCAGGCACACAGCUCCCAGGUAUUGCACAAUAUCCAAAAUGUUGGCCGGGAUGUUUUUAGUAACAAUUAUGCUGAUUUUUGGACUGGAAACGGCGAAAACUGCAAAACAGUGACUGGACAACAUCCCCCCAGCUUUGUUGUCAGAGAUGGAUAUGAAGUCACUUUGCCUUGUGGAAAUGUGAUAUAUGGUCAGGACAAUUGUGACGAUAUAAUCUGGCUCUUCAGUAGCUCAAGAAGCAUAGGUUCAGUAGAGCUGAUUCUACGGGGGCAGAUUAGUGAAAACGCCAAAGCUAAAUCAGACAGACUGAGUGUUGCAGAGUACUGUUCUCUGGUUAUAAAGAAUGUCACAGUCGAGGAUGUUGGUUAUUACACCUGCAGACAGAUCAAAUCAGGACAAGACUCUCAUGUUUAUCUGUCUGUUAUUACCAUGACUGAACAUAAGGACACUGAGGAGGUGACGUUAACCUGCUCUGUGUCGACAGAUGGACAGUGUGAACACACAGUGAAGUGGCUGUAUGAGGGUAAAGAAGUGGAUAAAGAUAGCAAUGACAUGAAGACAUCACAAACUGACUGCUUAGAUACUGUGACGUUUCUUACCUCUUAUCUCAAGAAAAAGUCACAGUAUAACGCGUUUAAGUGUGAAGUGACAGAUGGUUACUCAAAAGUGCAGCUGUUUGACUUUAGAUCUCAAUCAUCGGGUGACCAAACAUGUGAGAAUAUGGUGAGGUGGCAACAACAACAAUAAGAAACACUAAAAACGGAAACAAAAUAUCAAGGCCCACUAUAACAGUGCCUGCCAACAGCAAUACUCCAUCAAUAAACGGUUGGUGGCUGUACAUCAUUGGGGCUAUAGGUUUAGUGGUACUCUUAAUAAUAAUUGUGACAUGUGCCAUUAGAUGGAAGAGAAGUAAAGGUGAGAACAUUCACAGAUGAAACUUUCACCAAUGAGAAGUUUUGAAGCAGCUGGAUUUUCACUGUGGAAGCAAAAAGUUGACUUUCUUUUAUCUUUUCAGAAGACAAAACACAGACAGAUAAAAGAAAAAAAGUUUAAAACUGGAUGAUCAAACAUUGGUGCAAUUGUGACUUUACUGAGCAAACCAGGCAGUUUGUUGUUGUUCAUCGCAACUUGGUGUUUAGUUGGAGAGAGAGACUCCAGUACUGACUGCGAUGUACUAAAGUUCCACGACAAUUUUAAGUGGAAGAAUAUAUGUUAAACAAUCGAAUAGGAACAAAGAAUACAAGGAAUAGUUCAAUAUUUUGGUAAAUACUUGUUUUCAUAACAAAUAGCAAAAAAUAACAAGUGGCAACCUUUGACUGUGACACAAGUGAGAAGUGUGGAGGGGCAGGAGGGGAUCACCUUGAUUUAGCGUAAAAACUGGAAGCAGAGGGAAACAGUUAGCUCAGAUAAAUAUCUUUUUUGUAUGAGCCAUAAAGAACUUGAUGGACAACAUAUAUCUGCUCAGCACAUAAACUUAGGCCGUGAUGACAAGAACCCAGGAAGUUACAGCACUAAAUUGUUGUUUGCCAAGAAAUAGUUACAACACAUUAUUCACUCUCUAAAAGCACAAAUUGUGAUUUUUAUUUAUGGAAAUGUGAACUGUGUUUGUCCAGGGACAGAGUUUAAUCCAUGCAGUGACUGAGUCUGCUCCAGAAACCAGCCAGGACACGGCUGAUCCUGAAGAUGGUGUUUCCUACGCCUCCAUCAGCUACACCAGGAAGACCAACAGUAAAGGCCGGGAACGGGUUAAAAAUGAUGAUGCUGAUGAAGAUGAUACAGUGACCUACAGUAGUGUGAAAGUUUCCUCUUCUUCUGCUGGAGCCUCUGCUGAUCCCAGCAACCUCUACGCCACCAUUAAUAAACGAAAUAAAUAAGAGACCACAGUAUCUGAGAACCAUUUUACCGAUAUUCACUGGCAUUUUGCAGUUCACUGGCAUGAUGUCUAUGAAGAUUCUCAGUCAUCCAGGUCAUAGUUAUCCAACGAGGGUUA